rnacentral:lncRNA from 1 species
GGCCUUUAAUUGAUGCAUAAAUUUAUAUUUAAACCCAAAGCUCCUCAUAACACAUGUUGAAUCCUCCAUAACUAAAGUGGUAGUCUCUCAUGUCGUACUUGCAAUGCUUUUAUGUUCUAGCCCAACAAAUGUUAGAAAAAACUAGAGAAGGGGUCAACAUUGAGCGCAAUCCUCCUCGGCACUCCCCCCAUUUGCAUUGGUUGCUACAAUACACUCAUUUUGUAGAAUAAGAAACGUGUUG